rnacentral:lncRNA from 1 species
CAUCAUCCUACAAUGUGCUACAUGGGGGCUUGCCAAAAAAAAAAAAACAAACACAAACAAAAACCUUGACAGUGUCAACGGGGUUCAACAUGGCGGAAGCAGGCGACCGCCAGUAUGCUGCACACACGAAAAAUGUAAUCCGAAUUUUGGUAAUUAUAAAUUUGGUAAAGUCUUUAAAGCUGUCUUUUCUUCGCAGAGUGUACAAAUAGCCAUUAAAUGGGCGACACAUUAACCCACAUGAGAUUGAAAGAUUGAAAGUGCAUUUUAACGCAUCAAUCAAGAAG